GGGGAAACCCUGACGCAGCAACGCCGCGUGAGUGAUGAAGGCCUUCGGGUCGUAAAGCUCUGUCAGAGGGGAAGAAAUGCAGGGGUGCUAAUAUCAUCUUUGCUUGACGGUACCCUCAAAGGAAGCACCGGCUAACUCCGUGCCAGCAGCCGCGGUAAUACGGAGGGUGCGAGCGUUGUUCGGAAUUAUUGGGCGUAAAGCGCGUGUAGGCGGUCUUUUAAGUCUGAUGUGAAAGCCCCGGGCUCAACCUGGGAAGUGCAUUGGAGACUGGGAGACUUGAAUACGGGAGAGGGUAGUGGAAUUCCUAGUGUAGGAGUGAAAUCCGUAGAUAUUAGGAGGAACACCGGUGGCGAAGGCGGCUACCUGGACCGAUAUUGACGCUGAGACGCGAAAGCGUGGGGAGCAAACAGGAUUAGAUACCCUGGUAGUCCACGCCGUAAACGAUGAGUACUAGGUGUUGCGGGUAUUGACCCCUGCAGUGCCGCAGCUAACGCAUUAAGUACUCCGCCUGAGAAGUACGGUCGCAAGACUAAAACUCAAAGGAAUUGACGG
rnacentral:rRNA from 1 species